rnacentral:rRNA from 1 species
UACAGAGGUGGCAAGCGUUGUUCGGAAUUACUGGGCGUAAAGGGCGCGUAGGCGGCCGCCUAAGUCAGACGUGAAAUCCCCAGGCUCAACCUGGGAACUGCGUCUGAUACUGGGUGGCUUGAGUCCGGGAGAGGGAUGCGGAAUUCCAGGUGUAGCGGUGAAAUGCGUAGAUAUCUGGAGGAACACCGGUGGCGAAGGCGGCAUCCUGGACCGGAACUGACGCUGAGGCGCGAAAGCUAGGGGAGCAAACGGG